rnacentral:lncRNA from 1 species
GGCCUGUGCAGACGCUGCGUUCCGUGCUGAAGCGGCUCGAGCAGGCCUACUGUGGCACAAUUGGGUAUGAGUACAUGCACAUUCCAGACCAUGACAAGUGUAAUUGGCUCAGGGAUAAGAUCGAGACGGUUAACCCAAGGGAGUACACCUAUGACCGUCGCCAGGUCAUGCUCGAUAGGCUUAUCUGGAGCACACAGUUUGAGAAUUUCUUGGCGACCAAGUGGACCACCGCAAAGCGGUUCGGUCUUGAAGGUGCAGAGACUCUGAUCCCUGGCAUGAAGGAGAUGUUUGACAGGGCAGCUGAUCUUGGUGUAGAGAGUAUUGUCAUUGGUAUGCCACACAGAGGCAGGCUGAAUGUUUUGGG